rnacentral:rRNA from 1 species
UGGGGAAUUUUGGACAAUGGGCGCAAGCCUGAUCCAGCCAUGCCGCGUGCAGGAUGAAGGCCUUCGGGUUGUCAACUGCUUUUGUACGGAACGAAAAGGUGCCUUCUAAUAAAGGGCGCUCAUGACGGUACCGUAAGAAUAAGCACCGGCUAACUACGUGCCAGCAGCCGCGGUAAUACGUAGGGUGCGAGCGUUAAUCGGAAUUACUGGGCGUAAAGAGUGCGCAGGCGGUUUUGUAAGACAGAGGUGAAAUCCCCGGGCUCAACCUGGGAACUGCCUUUGUGACUGCAAGGCUGGAGUGCGGCAGAGGGGGAUGGAAUUCCGCGUGUAGCAGUGAAAUGCGUAGAUAUGCGGAGGAACACCGAUGGCGAAGGCAAUCCCCUGGGCCUGCACUGACGCUCAUGCACGAAAGCGUUGGGAGCAAACA